rnacentral:rRNA from 1 species
UACGAAGGACCCGAGCGUUAUCCGGAUUUAUUGGGUUUAAAGGGUGCGUAGGCGGAUUAAUAAGUCAGUGGUGAAAGCCCGUCGCUUAACGGCGGAACUGCCAUUGAUACUGUUAGUCUUGAGUAUGGUUGAGGUGGGCGGAAUGUGUCAUGUAGCGGUGAAAUGCUUAGAUAUGACCCAGAACACCAAUUGCGAAGGCAGCUCGCUAAGCCAUAACUGACGCUGAUGCACGAAAGCGUGGGGAGCAAAC